GUGGGAUUCACCCUGGAUAACCUUAGCCGGCUUAGUGUAAACGGGGCCUUAAAGAGAAAGUGUGAACGACAGUCAAAGGGGGGAGGGGCCAAGUGACGCGUUGACUGUACUACAUUUUUGAAGACUGGUCCAAUCUCCUGGAUCAUGUCCGAGGUGGUUGUGGACCUGCCGUGUCGCUGGAACGCUUGUCUGUUGCACUGUCUGUGUAUUACCCUGUGAUGAGUCCUGCUUGAGAGGCAGCGUGGGCCCAGUGUGCCAGCACACCAGCAGAACCAGACAGAAGAUCCCCCUGUCCUCCACAUCGCCUCGCGCUACCCUCUGUGCUGCACGUAACAACUGCAAACCAGGAAAGGGACAGUCUCCCGUACUCUCAGAGUACACAUCCUGAGCAUCCUCCGCAUCCUCGUCCAAGCCGUCCACGGCCUCCUCCCCGCCGGCCCCGCUGUCUAUGAACUCCUGGGGGUCCACUAGGGCGGGCC